rnacentral:rRNA from 1 species
GACGAACGCUGGCGGUGUGCUUAACACAUGCAAGUCGAACGGUAAGGCCCUUUCGGGGGUACCCGAGUGGCGAACGGGUGCGUAACACGUGAGUAACCUGCCCUCAUCUCUGGGAUAACAGUCGGAAACGGUUGCUAAUACUGGAUAUGAGCUUGCAAGGCAUCUUGUGGGUUGGAAAGAUUUUUUUGGUUGGGGAUGGACUCGCGGCCUAUCAGCUUGUUGGUGAGGUAGUGGCUCACCAAGGCUUCGACGGGUAGCCGGCCUGAGAGGGCGACCGGCCACAUUGGGACUGAGAUAAGGCCCAAACUCCUACGGGAGGCAGCAGUGGGGAAUAUUGCACAAUGGACGGAAGUCUGAUGCAGCAACGCCGCGUGCGGGAUGACGGCCUUCGGGUUGUAAACCGCUUUCAAUUGUGACGAAGCUUUUUGUGACGGUAGCAGUAGAAGAAGCACCGGCUAACUACGUG